UUCUAUGGCCAUACCACCCUGAACGCACCUGAUCUCGUCUGAUCUCAGAAGCUAAGCAGGGUCGGGCCUGGUUAGUACUUGGAUGGGAGACAAUCACAUUGGAAAGCUCUCAUCUAAAAC
rnacentral:rRNA from 1 species